rnacentral:rRNA from 1 species
AACGAGCGCUGGCGGCAGGCCUAACACAUGCAAGUCGAGCGCCCUUUCGGGGGAGCGGCGGACGGGUGAGUAACGCGUGGGAAUAUGCCCUUCUCUACGGAAUAGCCUCGGGAAACUGAGAGUAAUACCGUAUACGCCCUUUGGGGGAAAGAUUUAUCGGGGAAGGAUUAGCCCGCGUUGGAUUAGGUAGUUGGUGGGGUAAUGGCCUACCAAGCCGACGAUCCAUAGCUGGUUUGAGAGGAUGAUCAGCCACACUGGGACUGAGACACGGCCCAGACUCCUACGGGAGGCAGCAGUGGGGAAUCUUAGACAAUGGGGGCAACCCUGAUCUAGCCAUGCCGCGUGAGUGAUGAAGGCCUUAGGGUUGUAAAGCUCUUUCAGCUGGGAAGAUAAUGACGGUACCAGCAGAAGAAGCCCCGGCUAACUCCGUG